UACGGGGGGGGCAAGCGUUGUUCGGAAUUACUGGGCGUAAAGGGCUCGUAGGCGGCCAACUAAGUCGGACGUGAAAUCCCCAGGCUCAACCUGGGAAUUGCAUCCGAUACUGGAUGGCUUGAAUCCGGGAGAGGGAUGCGGAAUUCCAGGUGUAGCGGUGAAAUGCGUAGAUAUCUGGAGGAACACCGGUGGCGAAGGCGGCAUCCUGGACCGGCAUUGACGCUGAGGAGCGAAAGCCAGGGGAGCAAACGGG
rnacentral:rRNA from 1 species